rnacentral:lncRNA from 1 species
GAAGCUUGAGGAAGAGAAAAAACUGGAAGGAGAAAUAAUAGAUUUAAUAAAAUGAAGGCUGCCUCUGAAGCACGGCAGACUCAGUUGAGCACCAAUACAAAGAAAGACAAAGAUC